UACGAAGGGGGCUAGCGUUGUUCGGAUUUACUGGGCGUAAAGCGCACGUAGGCGGAUCGUUAAGUCGGGGGUGAAAUCCUGGAGCUCAACUCCAGAACUGCCUUCGAUACUGGCGAUCUCGAGUCCGGAAGAGGUGAGUGGAACUCCUAGUGUAGAGGUGGAAUUCGUAGAUAUUAGGAAGAACACCAGUGGCGAAGGCGGCUCACUGGUCCGGUACUGAUGCUGAGGUGCGAAAGCGUGGGGAGCAAACAGG
rnacentral:rRNA from 1 species